CACUUCUUUUCCCCUUUUCUCUAGGGUUUGUUGCCAUUGCAAAUGUCAUGCUGGUUUGGCCGAUAUUCACGCCGGAUUCUCUUGUUGUUGCAACCAGCCACCAGACAUGCUCGAGGAACCCCUGAAACUGACAACUGUGCACAGAUGAUGAGCUCGCUGUCAUGGUCCCGCACCAAGGAUGUUGCCCUGCGUCCAGAUGACUCAUAUCCCGGCAGCUCUUUUCAUCCUUUUAUCAAUAAAGCCAACUGCACUGCAAGCAGGAGGAUGGAGCUGCGCUAUAGAAAUCCUGUGAUACUUUUUUCAGUGAUGGAAUGAACUCAUAAAAGGUAUU
rnacentral:lncRNA from 1 species